CCUACGGGAGGCAGCAGUGGGGAAUAUUGCACAAUGGGGGAAACCCUGAUGCAGCGACGCCGCGUGAGUGAAGAAGUAUUUCGGUAUGUAAAGCUCUAUCAGCAGGGAAGAAAAUGACGGUACCUGAUCAAGAAUCCCCGGCUAACUACGUGCCAGCAGCCGCGGUAAUACGUAGGCGGCAAGCGUUAUCCGGAUUUACUGGGCGUAAAGGGAGCGUAGACGGCAGGACAAGUCUGGAGUGAAAUGCCGGGGCUUAACCCCGGAACUGCUUUGGAAACUGUGCAGCUAGAGUGCAGGAGAGGUAAGCGGAAUUCCUGGUGUAGCGGUGAAAUGCGUAGAUAUUAGGAAGAACACCGGUGGCGAAGGCAGCUUACUGGACUGUAACUGACGUUGAGGCUCGAAAGCGUGGGGAGCAAACAGGAUUAGAUACCCUUGUAGUC
rnacentral:rRNA from 1 species